rnacentral:rRNA from 1 species
GACGAACGCUGGCGGCGUGCUUAACACAUGCAAGUCGUACGGUAAGGCCCUUUCGGGGGUACACGAGUGGCGAACGGGUGAGUAACACGUGAGUAACCUGCCCACAACUUUGGGAUAACGCUAGGAAACUGGUGCUAAUACUGGAUAUGUGCUCCUGCUGCAUGGUGGGGGUUGGAAAGCUCCGGCGGUUGUGGAUGGACUCGCGGCCUAUCAGCUUGUUGGUGGGGUAGUGGCCUACCAAGGCGGCGACGGGUAGCCGGCCUGGGAGGGUGACCGGCCACAUUGGGACUGAGAUACGGCCCAGAAUCCUACGGGAGGCAGCAGUGGGGAAUAUUGCACAAUGGGCGCAAGCCUGAUGCAGCAACGCCGCGUGCGGGAUGACGGCCUUCGGGUUGUAAACCGCUUUCAGCAGGGACGAAGCUUUUUGUGACGGUACCUGCAGAAGAAGCACCGGCUAACUACGUG